rnacentral:rRNA from 1 species
AUUGAACGCUGGCGGCAUGCCUUACACAUGCAGGUCGAACGGCAGCACGGACUUCGGUCUGGUGGCGAGUGGCGAACGGGUGAGUAAAGUAUCGGAACGUACCUUUCAGUGGGGGAUAACGUAGCGAAAGUUACGCUAAUACCGCAUAUUCUGUGAGCAGGAAAGCAGGGGAUCGCAAGACCUUGCGCUGAUUGAGUGUGCGUCUGAUUAGCUAGUUGGUGAGGUAACGGCUCACCAAGGCGACGAUCAGUAACUGGUCUGAGAGGAUGAUCAGUCACACGGGCACUGAGACACGGGCCCGACUCCUACGGGGGGCAGCAGUAGGGAAUAUUGGACAAUGGAGGCAACUCUGAUCCAGCCAUCCCGCGUGAAGGAUUAAGGCCCUAUGGGUUGUAAACUUCUUUUCUCUGGGAAUAAAAACCUGAAUUCACUUCGGGCUUGAAGGUACCAGUGGAAUAAGCACCGGCUAACUCCGUGCCAGCCGCCGCGGUAAAAC